AUCUCAACAGACUUAAGACAUCCUGCAGGGGAAAAAAUGACAUCAGCAUUGAGCAACUAAAUUCAUUUCACUUACAGUAAUACUUUGUAUACUUGCUUUCAUAUUAAAUAUGGCAGGCCAGUUCCAUGCAUCCCCAAUGUGGAAAAACACGAAAAAAAGGCAAUGAAGAUUGCUGGUAGUCGUGUUACAUAUCUGUACAAUUACAAAUAACAAAGCCGAAAAGGUGACUUUUUUGGUUUCCAUUCAUACUAUGAAAUUUACUAAAAUUCCAUCAACUACUUCCCAAAAACCUUCUCCCCACUCAUCACCUGCUGAUGUUUCAGUGCUCUGUCUUGCUUCCAUCAUAUGAAGCUUCCAGAACUUCCUAGCACUUUAAAUGUCAUAUAUCUGCUAUUAAAAGUGGUAAUUUUUCAUAUCAAAAUCCAAUGCAUACUACACGAACUUAACUGAUGUUUGGUAGGCCAUAGUGCAAUGUAAUGCAAUCAAAUUU
rnacentral:misc_RNA from 1 species